UCGCUUAUGGACGAUUUGUAGAUGGGGUUCAUCUUCAUCACAUCCUUGCCUAAGCUUUCUUUUCAGCCAGGGAUGAUUCCUGAUUCUUGGCCGAUAAGCGUUAUCCUCUUUCUUGCAAUCUUGCAUUUCCUCUUUUAGACAACUAAUUUCCUCCUUUAAUUUUCUUUUCCUGUAAUAUUUUGGUGUUUCACAGUAAGAUUCAUCAGCUUGUUCUGAUUAAAAGCCCUCUUUGUUCUCCAAGGAAAUGACAAGACAGAAGAUAGAAAUAAAGAAGAUCGAUAACAUAACAGCGAGGUAAGUAACGUUUUCAAAGAGAAGAAGAGGGCUAUUCAAGAAGGCUCAUGAACUCUCUACUCUCUGUGAUGCUGAGAUUGCUCUCAUAGUCUUUUCUGCUACUGGCAAGCUCUUUGUAUAUGGUAGCUCAAGGCUUAUUAAUCCAGACUAACAGGAGAUUGACUACGAACGUGCUUGCUAGAGAAUUUUCGUGUGCAGCAGGUUAUUGAAAGGCAUGAUCAGCACUCAGAAAUUGAAAGAUUAUACCAUUCAUCUAUUUUGAGAUUCCAGUUGAUGGAAGAGAAUCAGCGAUUAAAAUAGGUGAGGAAUGCUUCACAAGAACAAGAUCAGUCAUCUGAGUUGGCCAACAUUGGCCGCGUAUUUGACCCUCCACAUGACGAUGAUAGUUCAGACACUUCUCUCAGAUUGGGAUUGUCUUUAUUUAAAUAAAAUAGAGAUGUGAUGCACUAUAGGGUAGAGCCAGAUACUCUGAAGUUUUCACCCUUUAUAGGUGAAAUUUAACCGUUGUGGGAGUUUUUUUCCCGUUAUUUCAAAAUUUGAGUUUUGCUUAAUCCAUGUUAGUAGGUGUUGAUUUGAUAAAUAUGUAUAUAUCCAAGAUAUUGUAUACUUGUAUUUAAAAAUUGCAAGAUCAUCCUUGACACAUUAAGAGAUUGUUUACAAUUUAAUCCAAUUGGUCAGAUUCCAAGUCAUAUAUGCACAAAUGGGCCAAGUCAACACCCGCUACAGUGAUGGCUACUUGAUAUGGUCAUGAUAAUCCAUAUUCUAAAAGAAAAAGUAAAAUUAUAUGUAUUACUGUUUAUUCAAUAUUUACUGAUAUGAUGACUAUAUAAAAUUAAUAUGGAUAUCUAUUUUUCAGAUUGUUGUUAUACAUUUGCUGAAUGAAGUUAAAUUUCCCCAUGCAAUUCGCAUACAACACUUAAUUUGAGAUCUUAACGGUUAUAUGAGUAUUUUAUGAGUGUAGCUUGAAGCAACCUGAGUUCAAUUGGGUGCAGUUUUUCUAAUGUAUUUUUAAUCCACAAGGUUUGGACUCUUGAACUUACAUGUUUAUUAAGAGAAUCAAGUUCUUUUUACUCAACUUAACAAUGUUUAAUUUGUUGCCAAAAGAAUUAAACAGACAAGCAUUUUAUACAACUUUUAGUAACUAGAUUGACUUUUUAUACAUGCAUCCCUAAAAU